rnacentral:lncRNA from 1 species
CACUCUCCCCACUAAUACCUUCUGGUCUGGCUAAAUCUCACAUCACAAGUUUUCAUUUCCCUUCCAGACAGCUGUGAUGGUUACACAAGUUCAGCUGCUUUUGUUAACUUCACACAAUGCCUGACCUCGAAUUCUGUAAUUUUCAUCCUCUAGCCCUUGUAUCUCACAAGAAAGGGAGGACAAGUGCCUCCCCUCAUCUUCCUUAUGCCUCUAAUUAUUGUAUCCUGUCUUUUUCUGCAGUUCCUCCCUAAUGCAAUCAAUCUCUGUCUUUCCAUUCUUGCCUCCUGUGAGAAGUUUUCAAGCCCCUAAUUAUCCUUUCAUUUCUGAACUUCUGCUGGGUCCUUUUUAAGCCAUGUACUUUUGAAGUUGAUGUUUCAGCCUGAUCUGAGAGGAUGCACACUCGGCUUUCAGCAGCCGGAGAGGGGCCGGGCAUCGUUAACUUCAAAGGGCGCUUUGGCAGGGCCCUUAUCCCGGCAUCUCCGAGGGCUGGAGAGCACAGGGAGAGCUCUGAGAUGUUCAUGGGGCCUCCUCCUCACAAAGGCUGCAUCCCGGGCUCUGAUCCACCUCCUGCCUCUUGUGCAGCAAAGCAGACGCUGAGCCAGAGCCCCAGAAUUCCUACUAGUGCCCUUGCCUGGCUGCUGCACCAGCAGGGCUGUGCCUGCCUGCCAAAAGAAAUCCAGCUGGGAUGCAGUCCUGGCAAACAGCUCUGGUCACUGGGAGUGCCUUGUGUUCAUGUGAUGGGAACCUGCAGGACCCAGCUCCUCACAGGGACAGCCUGGUCUGGUGGGUUCCCAUCUCCUUUCUGCUCAGAAUGACUCAAAUGUGCAUUAAUGGCCACUGGUCCAGGGCAGGACUUGCCUGGCCUUGGUAGCAGGAACUAACACCUUUGGUGUUUGCUGCAGCCUCUCAGUCCUUUUCCUCACAUGCAGACCACAAGCUUGUCUCGCUCUGGUUUUCUGCUGCAGCUUUCCUUUCCUAAACCCUGGUACUGGAAGCAGUGACAGGCAGGUGACACAAAAUGGCACUGGUAAUCUGAUCGGAUUGGGUCCUUUUCCCUUUCUCCCGUGCUGCCUGCGUUUGAUGGAGAGAGCUGUACGUGGCUGACAAGAGGGAGAGGGGAGCUCAGCACGUGUGGCUGGCACUUGGAGCUUCUCCUGGCACAGGAAUUCCGAGGUGCUGCUGGGAGGAGCCCUUACACUGAGCCCGUCCUGCCCUUCCCAGAGCUCACCCUGAAGUGGGAGGGACAGGGAGGGCCCUGGUCCUGGCUGGUGACAUUCCCUGCACGGCAGUCAGGAGCUCCGUGUGAGCUCCCUGCCAUGGAGCAUGGGAACAUCAGCUGGGCAAGGGUUCUGUCCU